rnacentral:rRNA from 1 species
UAGGGAAUCUUCGGCAAUGGACGGAAGUCUGACCGAGCAACGCCGCGUGAGUGAAGAAGGUUUUCGGAUCGUAAAGCUCUGUUGUUAGAGAAGAACGUUGGUAGGAGUGGAAAAUCUACCAAGUGACGGUAACUAACCAGAAAGGGACGGCUAACUACGUGCCAGCAGCCGCGGUAAUACGUAGGUCCCGAGCGUUGUCCGGAUUUAUUGGGCGUAAAGCGAGCGCAGGCGGUUCUUUAAGUCUGAAGUUAAAGGCAGUGGCUUAACCAUUGUACGCUUUGGAAACUGGAGGACAUGAGUGCAGAAGGGGAGAGUGGAAUUCCAUGUGUAGCGGUGAAAUGCGUAGAUAUAUGGAGGAACACCGGUGGCGAAAGCGGCUCUCUGGUCUGUAGCUGACGCUGAGGCUCGAAAGCGUGGGGAGCAAACAGG